ACCACAACGGGUGGAGCUUGCGGUUUAAUUGGAUUCAACGCCGGAAAUCUUACCGGGACCGACAGCGAUAUGAAGGCCAGGCUGAAGACUUUGCCGGAUUAGCUGAGAGGUGGUGCAUGGCCGUCGUCAGUUCGUACUGUGAAGCAUCCUGUUAAGUCAGGCAACGAGCGAGACCCACGCCCACAGUUGCCAGCGUACUCUCCGGAGUGACGGGUACACUGUGGGGACCGCCGCUGCUAAAGCGGAGGAAGGAAUGGGCAACGGUAGGUCAGUAUGCCCCGAAUAUCCCGGGCUACACGCGAGCUACAUUGGUUGGUACAAUGGGUAUCUACCCCGAAAGGGGAUGGUAAUCUCCUAAAGCCAAUCUUAGUCCGGAUUGAGGGCUGCAACUCGCCCUCAUGAAGCUGGAAUCCGUAGU
rnacentral:rRNA from 1 species